GCGCUAGUAGCUCAGCUGGGUAGAGUACCUGGCUACGAACCAGGCGGUCAGAGGUUCGAAUCCUCUCUGGCGCACCA
rnacentral:tRNA from 1 species